rnacentral:rRNA from 1 species
CCGUUCAGGGGUAAACCUGAGAAACCCAAAAGAUCGAAUGGGGAGAUUCAUCGCAAACGGAAUCGAUUCCCGUGCGGUACGCGAUGGCCGGUGCUUCGGUGCCGCGUCACGCUGUCGCUGCGGUAUUAUCGACUACGUCGGCGUGCACUUCUCCCCUAGUAGGACGUCGCGACCCGUUGGGUGCCGGCCUACGGCCCGGUUGGUCGACUGUCGCGUCGCGUUCACGCGCGUUCGCGGCAGACCAUCGGUCGCCUGGCCGGCUGCCCGGCGGUAUAGAUCAUUAUUGAACGGUAUUGGGCCGCAUUAUGUGCGUCCUGGCUCGUCGGCAGGCUCGCCUCGCUCGGUAUUACGGACCUAGCGCCGUUGCCGAGCGCUCGGUGGGCCGUUAGUCGACGAUGUCCUCGGACUGGCUCGAGCAUUCGAACGGAUGUACCGGUCGGCGACGCUACUGCUUUGGGUACUUUCAGGACCCGUCUUGAAACACGGACCAAGGAGUCUAACAUGUGCGCGAGUCAUUGGGACUUGAUAAGCCUAAAGGCGUAAUGAAAGUGAAGGUCGACCUCAGCGUCGACCGAGGGAGGAUGGUUAGUUUUACGAAGCUAGCCCGCACUCCCGGGGCGUCUCGUGCUCAUUACGAGCAGAGGCGCACCUAGAGCGUACACGUUGGGACCCGAAAGAUGGUGAACUAUGCCUGGUCAGGACGAAGUCAGGGGAAACCCUGAUGGAGGUCCGUAGCGAUUCUGACGUGCAAAUCGAUCGUCGGAACUGGGUAUAGGGGCGAAAGACUAAUCGAACCAUC